UACGGGGCCCACCCACAUGUUAACCUGCUGCAAAAUCCCUAAAAGAAAGGAUUUUUGUACUUUUCUACAGUUUGUACAGCUCUUUGUCCUCUGGAUAAAUGGAAUUUCUGGAUCGAAAGUUAUCCCUUCUUCUCUAAUGUCUCCUCUCUUCUUUUCUGACAGAACUUCGAACCUGGUUUUGCUUUCUGACCAUAUGGGGAGAUGGUACCUAACCCCAUCUUUAUCGUUACUUCUUUGGGUAUGUUUCUUCCAUCGUUGGACACCAAUAUUCUGGCCCAUUUCAUGUGUAGCUCUUGCAAAUGAGUAGUUGGCAUUAGUGCGUCUUGGAGGGUCUAUCUCUUCCAAUCUUUUAGGGCAUUUAAUGAAACUCUCUAUCUUAAAUGCAAUGUCAAGCUAUCCAGCAUUCUUGGCUAACUCUGAAAUGCUCAGCUCCUCUCUCUGUCAUCUUCCAUUUUCUGACCGUACUCGUUUGGUCGCUGGAGGCAUCUCUCAUGUUGGUACAUAUCCAUUCCAUUGUUUUGUUGUUCAUGGACGAUCUCCUCAUCAUUUUACGGCUUCUUUCUACCCAUUCUGAAUUCUCAGAGUUCCACCUUGUAAUAUCAAAAGACUUGAAUUCUGCAUUAAAGUAAAUUUUGUUCUCUCCCAUGGUAAUAUGAAAAAGGCUAGCUAUGUAAAGAAAGAAAGGUUGAGUUGUCACGUAAGAAGAAAGGUUGAGUUGUCACGUAAGGUGAUAAUUCAGGUUAUGAAGAAAAAAUUGAAGAUUCCGAUAGGGAUCUACCGAAAACAAGGACUCCCCUUUCCCCUAGGAAGUAGGAGAGAUCGGAAUCUUCAGUUUUUUCUUUAUAACCUGAGUUAUCACCUUACGUGACAACUCAAUCUUUCUUUCUUCACAUAGCUAGCCUUUUUCAUAUUACCAUGGGAGAGAACAGAACUUCAAUGCAGGAUUCAAGUCUUUUGAUAUUACAAAGUGGAACUCUGAGAAUUCAGAAUGGGUAGAAAAAAGUCGUAAAGUGAUGAGGAGAUCGUCCACGAGCAGCAAAACAAUGGAUAUGUACCAACAUGAGAGAUGCCUUCGGUGACCAAAAGAAUAUGAUCAUCUACUUUAUUUCUGAUACAUAUCUUCAAUACUCCUUCUUGGAUCAGAAAUUAUAGAUUAUAGUCUCGGCUGAAUUUGACAUCUUGAGUAAAUCUGUCAAUCCAUCUUUGAUCUUGCAAGGCUUGUGUGCAUCUUCUAUUGGAUUAAAAUAAGAAACUUUUACCUCUCAUUUCAACUUGUAAAAUCUCAUGAUUAGUGGAAUCAAAGAUGCGACAAUAUUUGUCUCCAAAUAAUAAUUUAAAUCCUUCUUCCAUAAGUUGGCCAACACUUAACAAACUUUUAUCAAUAUCGAGCACGUAAAGGACAUUUAAAAUUAUUUUUGUACCUGAAAUUGCUCUGAUUGCAACAUUCUCUUUUCCUUCUACAGGAAUAUAGUCACCAUUUCUAGCUUAAAAAAAUAUAUAUAUAUAUAUAGUCACCAUUUCCAAUUUUGACUUUCUUAUUUUCCAAAGGCAGAAAUUCUUUAGAAAGAGUUUUGUCAUAUAUCAUGUGGUUUAUACAACCACUAUCAAUCAUCUAAAAAUCAUAUUUCUUGGUUGAAAAAUAUUUUGCCACAAAUAAAAGAUCUUCUUAUUCUUUGGUGACUUGGGCAUCUGCUUCAUAUUUUUGGAAUUUGCUUUUGCAAAUUACAGCUUCAUAAGCAAGCUGAUUGCAGAUCUUGCAUUGUGCAUCUGGUCUCUUCCAAUAUUUAAAUAGAGGAUGACCUAUUUUGCCACAAUGUUGGUAAGGUGGGUAGUUUUUUCUUGAAUUAUUACCUUGCUCUGAGUGUUGUGGUUGGCUGUCAAAGCUCCUUCAACCAUAUCAUCCUGCCUCAUAAGCCUCCUUCGCUCUUGUGCCUACAAUGUAUUUAACAAUUCUAUCAAGGUAAUUUUAGACAGGUCUUUUGUGUUUUUCAAGGUAGUUAUUGAUACUUCGUAUCUUUCGGGCAAUGUAACAAGAAUUUUUUCAACAAUUCUUGAAUCUUUAAAUUUUGUGUCAAGCAAUCUUACCUUGUUAACAAUGCCAAGAAGUCGAUCUGAGUACUCUUUGACAGUCUCAGAUUCCUUCAUCUUUUGCAAUUUGAAUUCCCUUAUUAGAUUCAACACCUUCAUGCCUCGUAUUCUUUUAUCUUCUAUAUAUUCUUCUUUCAGAUAAUUCCUAAUUUCUUUUGUUGAUUUAAGGGUCAUAAUUCUAGUGAAAAUUGUUGGAAACACACUAGCAAACAAAGUUGCUUUUGCCUUUGAUUUUAUGAUUUUCUUUUUCUUAUAGCUUUUGAUAUGGGCUACUAUGGGAUUAUUGAGCAGCGAAAGAACAUCAUAAUCCUCCUCCACGGCCUCCCAAAGAUCCAAAGCCUCAAGAUAAGUUUCCAUUCUUACUGCCCAAAGUUGAUAAUUCUCACCAUCAAAGACAAGAGGAGCUAUUUGGGAAAAGUUAUUUUCAGAAUUCAUCUCACUCACAGAUCCCUCAAGAAAAUGGCUCAAAAUAUCAAUUGUUGGUUUUUAGCUUUAAAAUUAAAGAAAUAACAGAGAAAGACUUGGAGAGAAAAAAAUACUGCAAUUGUAUUGUCAGAGGAAAUUGUUUUAUUAAUAAUUUUUUUUAUAUAUUUAUAGGUAAAUUUCUAGCUAGAAAAUAGGAAUCCAUUCUUCUUUAUUAUUGAACGAGACCAUAAAUAGAGUGGAAGCCCUAGAAUGCAAAUCCAAAACCACUUGAAUCUGUGGGACUUUGGAAAAGCCCAUGCAUCUCUAGUGAUCACUACUUGAGGUUUAAUUUAUCCCCUUCCCUUCACCAUCCUCCCUUCAACACGUGUUUGCUACUUUUCUUAUAUGGAACUCGAACAGAACUGUGGACCAUUCAUAUCAUACGCUCAACUUUCGGGUGCCCCUCUCCAUGUAUGUUGAGCCUAACUUCAAACACCAUUUUUUAUGGGAGCAUCUCCUCCAUAUAGGUUUUUACUCCCAGAAUUCCUCCAAGAUUCAGUUCUCCAGCAGCCUCCGUUUCUAUCUGUGUCCAUUUACUUUUUGGUAAUAUUUCUGAGUAGUUCCUUUCCCCCUUGUCUGCAGUUGUUUAUGUAUCUACAUUAUUACACUGAAACCCUAUUUAUAGACUCCAAUCCAUUUCCAAGUACGACACUACGUUAUAAUCCUUUUGAAAGUAGGAUUUUAUAUCUUAUUCCUUCUCAUACUCAUAUUAGAUCUAACACUUCCCAUCAAGCUGGUUCAUACAAGUCAUACCAAGCUUUUUACAUAUGUAAUUAAUACGAGGACUAGUGAGAGACUGGGUGAAAAUGUCUGCAAGAAACUGGAACUGACUGCUGGGACAUCUAGGCGAGCACAUUUGAAAAGGAACAAACUGAAAAAGUGGUCAGAAAAGUAGUAAACGUUGCCUAAAAGUCUAUUUGUCGCUGAAAAAUUGUCGAAAACUGGUAUAAAAUAUAUGAGUCAUCUCAAAAUCAAGAGAUGAGUAGAUCUUGAACAAGAAAGUCGCCGAAAAACAUGCCGGAACAUGCACACCCACCGGAUUAUUAGAUUUGACCUAAGUUGCACGGACUUUUCACUUUUGAUGCUGCACCCAUGUCGGAUUCUCCAAAAAUAUACUAGUUUUGGCGAAUCCGACACGCACCCGUCGACAUAUUUGAAGAGUCCGAGCAACAUAGGAUUUAACGGCUAAAAAGUGAUCAAAAUCUGAGAAAAAUUAUUUGGGUAUGGAUGGAAUGAUGGCACGACUCUACUGGAAAAGAGAGAUUAUAUGGGUAGGCUCAAAAUGAUGGCACGACCCUAUGCAAAUUAGAUUUGAGAAAAUAGUCACCGAAAAGAUGCACGGUGCUACACAAAUUAGAUAUGAGAAGCCACCAGAAAGAAGCACGAUGGCCCAACUUUUGCUAACAUGAUCAUUAGCCAAACGGGUGGUAUAUAUGGGUAAUAGUCACCUGCCGGCAGCGGAAUAUCUUUGAUUCUCCACCAAUAUUGUAGAGACUCUGGUACCAUGUGAGAAAUAUAAGAGAAAUAUCAUUGAAUUGUGUAUCUACAUAUUACACUGAGACUAUUUAUAAAUACUACAUUCUAAUCUUUUUCUAAGUAGGAUUCUAUAUAUUAUUUCUUUUUCUA